rnacentral:misc_RNA from 1 species
GAUGAAGAACGCAGCGAAAUGCGAUACGUAAUGUGAAUUGCAGAAUUCAGUGAAUCAUCGAAUCUUUGAACGCAUAUUGCGCUCUCUGGUAUUCCGGAGAGCAUGCUUGUUUGAGUAUCAGUAAACACCUCAACUCCCUUUUCUUUUUUGAAAUGGGAGUUGGACUUGAGUGAUCCCAACGCAUUUCCUCACCGAAAAGUGGCGGGUUACUUGAAAUGCAGGUGCAGCUGGACUUUUCUCUGAGCUAUAAGCAUAUCUAUUUAGUCUGCCUAAAAAACAGAUUAUUACCUUUGCUGCAGCUAACAUAAAGGAGAUUAGUUCUUGUGCUGACUGAUGCAGGAUUCACAAAGACAGCUUCGGCCGACUUUGUAAACUCGAUCUCAAAUCAAGUAAGACUACCCGCUGAACUUAAGCAUAUCAAUAAGCGGAGGA